rnacentral:tRNA from 1 species
GGCCGAGUAGCUCAGUGGAUAGAGCAAUAGCCUUCUAAGCUAUUGGUCGCAGGUUCGAUUCCUGCUUCGGUCA